GAUAAACGCUAGCGGCAGGCUUAACACAUGCAAGUCGAGGGGCAGCAUAGAUUGUAGCAAUACAAUUGGUGGCGACCGGCGCACGGGUGCGUAACGCGUAUGCAACCUACCCGUCACAGGGGGAUAAUCCGGAGAAAUCUGGUCUAAUACCCCAUAACAUAUGGAUCGGCAUCGGUUCAUGUUGAAAUUUUCGGAGGUGACGGAUGGGCAUGCGUAGCAUUAGCUUGUUGGUGAGGUAACGGCUCACCAAGGCGACGAUGCUUAGGGGGACUGAGAGGUUUUCCCCCCACACUGGCACUGGGACACGGACCAGACUCCUACGGGAGGCAGCAGUGAGGAAUGUUGGUCAAUGGGCGCAAGCCUGAACCAGCCAUGCCGCGUGCAGGAUGACGGCUCUAUGAGUUGUAAACUGCUUUUGUACGAGGGUAAAGUGGGUUACGUGUAACCUUUUGAAAGUAUCGUACGAAUAAGGAUCGGCUAACUCCGUGCCAGCCGCCGCCGUAA
rnacentral:rRNA from 1 species